rnacentral:rRNA from 1 species
CUACGUGCCAGCAGCCGCGGUAAUACGGAAGGUCCGGGCGUUAUCCGGAUUUAUUGGGUUUAAAGGGAGCGUAGGCCGUGGAUUAAGCGUGUUGUGAAAUGCAGGUGCUCAACGUCUGCACUGCAGCGCGAACUGGUCCACUUGAGUGUGCACAACGCAGGCGGAAUUCGUCGUGUAGCGGUGAAAUGCUUAGAUAUGACGAGGAACUCCGAUUGCGAAGGCAGCUUGCGGGAGCACAACUGACGCUGAAGCUCGAAAGUGCGGGUAUCGAACAGGAUUAGAUACCCUGGUAGUCCGCACGGUAAACGAUGGAUGCCCGUUGUCAGGCUGUUUCAGUCUGGUGACCAAGCGAAAGCAUUAAGCAUCCCACCUGGGGAGUACGCCGGCAACGGUGAAACUCAAAGGAAUUGACGGGGGCCCGCACAAGCGGAGGAACAUGUGGUUUAAUUCGAUGAUACGCGAGGAACCUUACCCGGGCUUGAA